CCUACGGGUCGCAGCAGUGGGGAAUUUUGCACAAUGGGCGCAAGCCUGAUGCAGCCAUGCCGCGUGUAUGAAGAAGGCCUUAGGGUUGUAAAGUACUUUCAGUUGGGAGGAAGGCGUCGAUGCUAAUAUCAUCAGCGAUUGACGUUACCAACAGAAGAAGCACCGGCUAACUCCGUGCCAGCAGCCGCGGUAAUACGGAGGGUGCAAGCGUUAAUCGGAAUUACUGGGCGUAAAGCGCACGCAGGCGGUUGAUUAAGUUAGAUGUGAAAUCCCCGGGCUUAACCUGGGAAUGGCAUCUAAGACUGGUCAGCUAGAGUCUUGUAGAGGGGGGGUAGAAUUCCAUAUGUAGCGGUGAAAUGUGUAGAGAUGUGGAGGAAUACCGGUGGCGAAGGCGGCCCCCUGGACAAAGACUGACGCUCAGGUGCGAAAGCGUGGGGAGCAAACAGGAUUAGAUACCCCUGUAGUC
rnacentral:rRNA from 1 species